UUUUUGGAGAGUUUGAUCCUGGCUCAGGACGAACGCUGGCGGCGUGCCUAAUACAUGCAAGUCGAGCGGAUCUUCAUUAGCUUGCUUUUGAAGAUCAGCGGCGGACGGGUGAGUAACACGUGGGCAACCUGCCUGUAAGACUGGGAUAACUUCGGGAAACCGGAGCUAAUACCGGAUAAUCCUUUUGCUCUCAUGAGCGAAAGCUAAAAGACGGCUUCUCGCUGUCACUUACAGAUGGGCCCGCGGCGCAUUAGCUAGUUGGUGAGGUAAUGGCUCACCAAGGCGACGAUGCGUAGCCGACCUGAGAGGGUGAUCGGCCACACUGGGACUGAGACACGGCCCAGACUCCUACGGGAGGCAGCAGUAGGGAAUCUUCCGCAAUGGACGAAAGUCUGACGGAGCAACGCCGCGUGAACGAUGAAGGCUUUCGGGUCGUAAAGUUCUGUUGUCAGGGAAGAACAAGUACCGGAGUAACUGCCGGUACCUUGACGGUACCUGGCCAGAAAGCCACGGCUAACUACGUGCCAGCAGCCGCGGUAAUACGUAGGUGGCAAGCGUUGUCCGGAAUUAUUGGGCGUAAAGCGCGCGCAGGCGGUUCCUUAAGUCUGAUGUGAAAGCCCCCGGCUCAACCGGGGAGGGUCAUUGGAAACUGGGGAACUUGAGUGCAGAAGAGGAGAGCGGAAUUCCACGUGUAGCGGUGAAAUGCGUAGAGAUGUGGAGGAACACCAGUGGCGAAGGCGGCUCUCUGGUCUGUAACUGACGCUGAGGCGCGAAAGCGUGGGGAGCGAACAGGAUUAGAUACCCUGGUAGUCCACGCCGUAAACGAUGAGUGCUAAGUGUUAGAGGGUUUCCGCCCUUUAGUGCUGCAGCAAACGCAUUAAGCACUCCGCCUGGGGAGUACGGCCGCAAGGCUGAAACUCAAAGGAAUUGACGGGGGCCCGCACAAGCGGUGGAGCAUGUGGUUUAAUUCGAAGCAACGCGAAGAACCUUACCAGGUCUUGACAUCCUCUGACAA
rnacentral:rRNA from 1 species